rnacentral:rRNA from 1 species
CCUUGUACACACCGCCCGUCACACCAUGGGAGUUGGUUCGGCCUUAAGACGGUGCGCUAACCCGCAAGGGGAGCAGCCGGCCACGGCCGGGUCAGCGACUGGGGUG